rnacentral:lncRNA from 14 species
GUCACCGGCACGGCAGCAUCAAUGAACGCUGGCUGCAACCUGGAGCUGUCCUAUGGCAUGAGGAACAACGUCUUCAUGCGCAUCCCGCAGGCUCUGGCCAUGGGGAACAUCACGCUGCAGAUGCUGCGUGACCGGGUCCGGCCCCUCUUCUACACCCGGAUGCGGCUGGGGGAGUUCGACCCCCCGGCCAUGAACCCCUACAGUGCCCUGAACCUGAGCGUGGUGCAGAGCCCCGAGCACCGAAACCUGUCCCUGGAAGCUGCCAUCAAGAGCUUUGUGCUGCUGAAGAACUCAGGGGGGACACUGCCCCUCCGGGCCCAGGACCUGCCUGGCAAGCGCCUUGCGGUUGUGGGUCCCUUCGCUGACAACCCCCGGGUGCUGUUUGGGGACUACGCGCCGGUGCCGGAGCCGCGGUACAUCUACACCCCGCGGAGGGGGCUGGAGACGCUGCCGGUCACUGUCAGCUUCGCAGCCGGCUGCCCUGACCCGCGGUGCCAGCAGUACUCACGGGCAGAGGUGGUGGGUGCCGUGGGGGCUGCCGACGUGGCUGUGGUGUGCCUGGGCACAGGGACCGGUGUGGAGACGGAGGCAAGGGACCGGAGUGACCUGUCCCUGCCGGGGCACCAGCUGGAGCUGCUGCAGGACGCAGUGCAGGCAGCUGCCGGGCGCCCUCUGAUCCUGCUGCUGUUCAAUGCGGGGCCGCUGGACGUGAGCUGGGCACAGGCACACGAGGCUGUGGGUGCCAUCCUGGCCUGCUUCUUCCCUGCCCAGGCCACUGGCCUCGCCAUAGCCAAGGUGCUGCUGGGGGAGCCCGGGGCCAGCCCCGCUGCCAGGCUGCCGGCCACAUGGCCCGCGGGCAUGCACCAGGUAAGAGCAGGGCAGCACCACAGCCCUUCCCUAUGGCAGGGGCUGGGGAACCAUGGGAUGAAGGGCUGAUGCUUGACUGUGUCCUGCUCCUCCAUCCCCACAUCCCACAGGUGCCACCAAUGGAGAACUACACCAUGGAGGGACGGACAUACCGGUACUAUGGGCAGGAGCCCCCUCUUUACCCCUUUGGUUAUGGGUUGUCCUACACCACCUUCCGCUACCGGGACCUGGUGCUGAUCCCCCCGGUGCUGCCCAUCUGUGCCAACCUCUCUGUGUCUGUGGUGCUGGAGAACACGGGGCAGCGGGAUGGAGAGGAGGUGAGCA